rnacentral:rRNA from 1 species
ACCCAGCCAUGCCGCGUGCAGGAUGACUGCUCUAGUAGUUGUAAAACUGCUUUUCUAUUUCAUGAACCCCUCUGACGUGUCAGGGGCUGACGGUAGAAUAGGAAUAAGCAUCGGCUAACUCCGUGCCAGCAGCCGCGGUAAUACCGGAGGAUGCAAAGCGUUAUUCCGGAUUUACUAGGUUUAACGGGUGCGUAGGCGGGGUAAUCAAGUCAGUGGUGAAAUCCUGCAGCUCAACUGUUAGAACUGCCAUUGAAAACUGAUAUUCCUUGAGUAAUAAGUUGAGGUAAGGCGGAAUGUUGUUAAGUAGCGGUGAAUUGCAUAGAGAUAACACAGAACACCGAUUGCGAAGGCAGCUUACUUAACUAGUACUGACGCUGAGGUACGAAAGCGUGGGGAGCGAACAGGAUUAGAUACCCUGGUAGUCCACGCCGUAAACGUUGAUCACUAGUUGUUUGCGAUACAUUGUGAGCGACUGAACAAAAGCAUUAAGUGAUCCACCUGGGGAGUACGUUGGCAACGAUGAAACUCAAAGGAAUUGACGGGGGCCCGCACAAGCGGAGGAACAUGUGGUUUAAUUCGAUGAUACGCGAGGAACCUUACCUGGGCUUAAAUGUAAGACGACUAACAGGGAAACUUGUUAUCUUUCGAGCGUCCUACAAGGUGCUGCAUGGUUGUCGUCAGCUCGUGCCGUGAGGUGUCGGGUUAAGUCCCAUAACGAGCGCAACCCUUAUCGUUAGUUGCCAGCGGGUAAUGCCGGGGACUCUAGCGAAACUGCCAUCGUAAGAUGUGAGGAAGGUGGGGAUGACGUCAAAUCAGCACGGCCCUUAUGUCCAGGGCUACACACGUGUUACAAUGGUCGAAACAAAGGGCAGCUACUUGGUGACAAGAUGCUAAUCUCUAANAUCGAUCUCAGUUCGGAUCGAAGUCUGCAAUUCGACUUCGUGAAGUUGGAUUCGCUAGUAAUCGCGCAUCAGCAAUGGCGCGGUGAAUACGUUCCCGGGCCUUGUACACACCGCCCGUCAAGCCAUGGAAGCUGGGGUACCUGAA